rnacentral:lncRNA from 1 species
CCUUUUCUAAUACUCUCGUUAAAUACCCCAACACCCCAUGUGAUGCAUGUGAUUGAUGCAAUAUCAACCUUCAUAAAAAAAAACAAUAAAUUUAUAGCCACCAAUUUGUUCUGUCAUUGUUAUUUUUAGCAACUUUUCUUUGGUCUGAGAUUGAGUGCCUUCUGCCAAGUAUGACCAGAAUCAACAUAUUCACAAAACUGUUGGUUGCAUUGGCAGUGUUUUAUUGUGUGUUUGAUUAUUUCACGGUGCCAAUCUAUCUUUAUGUGGCUGCCAUCACGGCGGUUGCGACAGUGACGAUCAUGUCUCUCCGUGCCACCAUGGUGAUAUGGAUCACGGUCUUGGUGCUGUUAAGUUUUGCAGGCAACCGUCGGAAGACUUUGGUGCAACGAGGUAGACGAAUAACAUUCGAUGUACUGUCGCAUUUGGUCAGAGUUUCAUUCCUAUCACAGAAGAAAAGGUGAAAUCAGAGUUUUAGUAGUAUAGAUUUUUAUGUGAAGGAACUCGAUAGAGUGCUAUUCGAGGUCAAGAUUAUAUAAUCUCAGAAUAGGUUGAUGAUCUCAUUUGUAGAUAGUAGGAUCCCAGUAGGAUUUUUACUUUUUAGUUAUUUACUAUAUUUUCUCAUUGUUUUCCUAUGAUUAAUCUAAAGAAAUUAAUUGCAAAAAUCAUAUUAUCCUACUGUUGAAUAAACUUUAAUGUCAUAGUUAAUAGGUUUUAUUAAUAAGUUAAUGGAGAGAUUUGGAAGGUCAAGAGACAGUGGCCAAAUUAAUAGUAUUUACUAAUUAUCAUAAUUCCUAGAAUAGCUAAGGUUUCUGAAUAUGUAUAAAGACCAAAAUUGUACUCUAAUAAAAUACAGAAGUUUAUAAAACAGUCGUUUCUUCUGUCAAAUUGACA